ensembl:processed_transcript Gm16170 predicted gene 16170
AGCAGCCGACAGGAUUACACUAUCCACCGAGACAGAUAAAACAGAAGGAACGUGAGUAUUCGGAAAGAGACUUUUAAAAAACUGGUCCGAGUUGUACCUGCCGUGUGAGCGAGGGAACGGUCCCUACGAGGAGUGCCCUGGUCUGCCGAAGGAACAGGGAACGAUGUUGUAAUCAACGAUUACAAUCAAGGCUUAUAAUCAAGGUCAACAUUCAGACAAUGCUCACGGGAAGGAAUCGAUGACCCUGUCCUGUGAGAGGCCAAGUCAGAAAUAUUGAUUACCUGGUGGUGACAGUAGUGGUCGGGUUCUGCAGACGUGCUCAGUAGAGAGCAGCAGACGUGCUCAGUAGAGAGCAAAGACCUAGAAUCCCCUGGUCCCACCAUACUCACAGGCAAAUUUGAAAAGGACAACCAACUCUUAUGAUGCAUCUUAAUGCUAGCAGUGAGCUAAUUUGUGAUGGCCCCUCAGAGCCCCCUGAGGGGAGGUCAGAGAAGAUGAAGGUUUGGGGGAGGACAAGAGUCCUAAUCUGAAAGAAUAACAAGAAGUGGCGGCAGUCCAUAGCCCUCUGCCUGGUGGCUAACCGGCCCUAAGGUUUCUGUAACGCUGAUGAUGGCUGGCUCACUCGUUGUACAACCCAGGGGCCUGCCCUUCAUUUGAGUGCUGGAAUUCUGUGAAGAUAAGGUUCAGAGUCCUGGAUUUUUGGCGCCUAGACCAGUUAUUCUCAGAGACCUGAUAAUGCUGGAGAUCUUACGAUGCCCAAAAGCUCUCCCUGGAGAUCCUCUACAGAGACACAAAGCAGAGCCAAAGUGCACAGCGUGGGACACUGCCCGACCAGAAAACCUCCUCUUCUCCCUCACUUACAACUCCAGAUACUCCAGAUACUCCAGAUACUCCAGAGGCUGAGUUACACGUAUGGAGCCAAGAUGGGAACAUAUGGAAGCGACCCCCCCCCAAGUGUUCUAGCUCCCCCUCUCCCUCUAUUGUCUAGAACUGGUCUGACCUGACCCCUCCCCCUUUAGCUUCUCCGUGCCCCCAGUAUUCUUCUAUAGUAUCCCCACAGGAAGCAGGAUGCCCAAUCUGGCUUUACUAUGCUCCAACUCCUGUUUCCUCUUCUCAGUUCAAGAAAGACACAGCCUUACAUCCCAUGACUACCAGGAGCACACCCACCCUUCCACCCAACACUAUGCAGCCAGCCCACACCCAGAGCCCCACCUUUGAACUUCUUCAGCAAUCCUUUUAAGACGAAACUCUUGAGGGAAACAUUCCACACUUUAUUCUUCAUCUCAGAUGAGACUGUGGUUGGCUUGGAGCUGGGCACGCUGCUGCACCUGCAGGACAAGACCCCAGAGAAAGUCCCGAGAACACCAAUCCACUCCUACUGCCCUAUGGAAAUUAGGCCGGUGCUAUAGUUUAGAUACAUGUAAUCCUAGAGACCUAUGUGUUAAAGGCUUGAUUGCCAGCUUGUGUCCCUAUUAGAAGAUAUCCCAUCUUUUAGGAGGUGGGGCUUGUGGUAGGGAGUUUACAUGAUUGGAGAAUUGCCUUUGAAGAGAAUUUCAUCGAGCAGACAAUCUUAUUCAUUCCCCUCCACUCCCUCUUCCCUGUUGCUCCCAGUUGAGAGAAAACAGAAAAUCCAACUUUACACAGGGAUUCCCACAGCUAGGGUCUGGUUGUUCUCCAGCAGUGUUUCCUAACACCUCGGGCAAAUGCCUCAAGGCUCUGACUGAGCCAGCGUCACCUGGAGGAAGUCUAGGUCCGGCUUCUGAGCUGUCUCCUGGAUCUGGCCGCUGAGUUUGGACAGCUGAGUGAUCUCACCCUCCAGCUGGGCCAGGUUCUCAUUCUGUUUCUGUGUCACUUCCCGGGACAGCACCUCCAGUCGGCUUAGAAGCCGACCCUCCUGCUCCACCAGGAAGGCCCGCAGCGCUUGGAACUCCGCCCCUACCUUCUCUUUCUCUGCUGCCAUCUGCUUCUGUCUCGGGAAGAGAUGUGGGCACACGACUUAGAGGGGAAGGCACUUGGGCAUGACAUUAAGACAGGACUUUAAGACAGGUAUCCUCCAGGUCAGGGUUGCUUCCCCAAUGAGACACACCCAUGCAUGCAUACUGUACAUUAAUAGCCCAACUCUGUAAAAGCCAGAGCCUCAACACAUGCUGCUCUCUCCCCUGCCACACACGUUCUCUGGCGUCUCUUAAGACCUGGACUCUUCUAUCUUUGAGCAUCUUCAACUCCUCACAACUACUUCAAGCUGCAAUUUCCUUCUGUAAAACAUGAGAGAGACAGGGGCAGUGGUGGCCCCAGCCUUUAAUCCCAGCACUUGGGAGGCAGAGGCAGGUGGAUUUCUGAGGCCAGCCUGGCCUACAGAGUGAGUUCCAGGAUAGCCAGGUCUACACAGAAAAACCCCGUCUUGGAAAAAAAAAAUGAAAGAAAAGAAAAGAAAAGAAAAGAAAAGAAAAGAAAAGAAAAGAAAAUGAGAGAGAUAAGUUAGUGUGCUAAUUAAUUUAUCCAUAGUGAAGGCUAAAUCAAAGGUUGUCUUUCCUUUCUCUAUAUAUUCAUUUAGUCACCUUUCACCCUAUUUUUAUUUUAUUUUAGAGAUGAAUUUUCAUGGUGUAGUCUUGGCUGGUCUGGAGGUUUCACUGUAGACCAGGAUAGCCUUGAACUCACAGAUACCUGCCUACCUCCUCAGUGCUGGGAUUAAAGGUGUGUGUCCCUGUGCCUGGUCCAUCCUUGUUUUUUAUUGUUUGUUUGUUUUUCAAGACGGGUAUCUCUGUGUAGCCCUGACUGUUCUGAAACUGUCUCUGUAGAACAGCCUGGCCUUGCACUCACAGAUCCACCUGCCUCUGCCUCUGCCUCUCGAGUGCUGGGAUUAAAGGAAGCGUAACUAAACCCAGAUUUUUUUUUUCUUUCUCUCUUUUUAAGGCGCUAUUUUGGCUUCAAUUCUGAUGGAAAGGUGGCACAGCCUUUUGGUGAGUCAUUAAGCUAGCAAGGCUGUCUGACACAGUUCCAGCAAAGCUUAGCUGAGCACUGCAGUUGCUGACGAUCUCUCUGUCUCUCCGUUUAGGGGCUGGGGCUCUACACACUGCAUUCUUAGGGACUUUCUGCAUUAGGACUCACUUUAUGUGUAUUCCCAAGAAAAUUAUACCUGAAUCUUUUAAGGAAAGUUCUAAACACAAUAUUAACUAGCUGCUAUUUGAAAGUCUUCCUUAUGCCCUGAAGAUCAUUAAACACAGAUAUGCACAUAGCUAGAAAUUUCUUUAUAAGGCCAUGUAUUACUCCAGGAAUCUUUCUGUGGUAUCCACCCCUAAGCAAAUUCAAACAGUAUACUUGGUGCAGAGUAAAAAGAGACCAUUGAUAAACUGACUGGCCAGGAGAAUAGGUUACAGAUCUGAGGCCUCUUUUUUCAACACGUUUAGAACUCUCUGGAACUGUAAAGAUAGGGGGUCAUACAUGGAAUAGCCAUGGAAGAGUUGAACUCAGUAAACGAGAUAGACAGACUACAAUAUAGGUUCCCUGCUUUAUAGGGUAGAUGAUGAAACAACACAGUAAAAGCUGCUAAAUAUUAGUAUUUGCUACCCAGAAAAAGACCUGUCCAGACUUUUUCUGUUUGUCUGGAGUGUUUUAAAACUGCAAACACCGCCAGCCUGAAAGAAGACCAUUGUAUUAUAAUCACGUUUGCUUUGGAGGAGACGUUCUUUAGAUUCUUUAAAUUGGAGUUACAGGGCUGAUAAUAAAAAAUAAAAUCUGUCCUUUUUGUACUUUC